GGGCCGUUAACUCAGGCUGGUAGAGUAUCUGCCUUUUAAGCAGAGAGUCGCAAGUUCAAGUCUUGCACGGCCCA
rnacentral:tRNA from 3 species